rnacentral:rRNA from 1 species
AACGAACGCUGGCGGCAUGCCUAACACAUGCAAGUCGAACGAGACCUUCGGGUCUAGUGGCGCACGGGUGCGUAACGCGUGGGAAUCUGCCCUUGGGUUCGGAAUAACAGUUAGAAAUGACUGCUAAUACCGGAUGAUGUCUUCGGACCAAAGAUUUAUCGCCCAAGGAUGAGCCCGCGUAAGAUUAGCUAGUUGGUGAGGUAAUGGCUCACCAAGGCGACGAUCUUUAGCUGGUCUGAGAGGAUGAUCAGCCACACUGGGACUGAGACACGGCCCAGACUCCUACGGGAGGCAGCAGUGGGGAAUAUUGGACAAUGGGCGAAAGCCUGAUCCAGCAAUGCCGCGUGAGUGAUGAAGGCCUUAGGGUUGUAAAGCUCUUUUACCCAGGGAUGAUAAUGACAGUACCUGGAGAAU